AUUGAACGCUGGCGGCAGGCCUAACACAUGCAAGUCGAGCGGAGCGGCGGACGGGUGAGUAAGGCCUAGGAAUCUGCCUGGUGGUGGGGGGUAACGUCCGGAAACGGGCGCUAAUACCGCAUACUAUCAGAUGAGUCUAGGUCGGAUUAGUUAGUUGGUGGGGUAAAGGCCUACCAAGGCGACGAUCCGUGACGGGUCUGAGAGGAUGAUCAGUCACACUGGAACUGAGACACGGUCCAGAUUCUUACGGGAGGCAGCAGUGGGGAAUAUUGGACAAUGGGCGAAAUCCUGAGCCAGACAUGCGGCGGGUGUGAAGAAGGCCUUCGGAUUGUAAAGCACUUUAAGUUGGGAGGCGUUACCAACAGAAUAAGCACCGGCUAACUUCGUGCCAGCAGCCGCGGUAAUAC
rnacentral:rRNA from 1 species